GUGCCGUUAGUGUAGGGGUAACAUACAAUCUGAUCUUAGGUAAAGUUCAGGUAGACCCAGGUUGAGUUCUGGGUUCGAAUCCCAGACGGCACA